GCUAAUCAAGCUCGGAGAUAGCUGGUUCUCCUCGAAAGCUAUUUAGGUAGCGCCUCAUGUAUCACUGCUGGGGGUAGAGCACUGUUUCGGCUAGGGGGUCAUCCCGACUUACCAAACCGAUGCAAACUCCGAAUACCAGCAAGUGCCGAGCAUGGGAGACACACGGCGGGUGCUAACGUCCGUCGUGAAAAGGGAAACAACCCAGACCGUCAGCUAAGGUCCCAAAGUCAUGGUUAAGUGGGAAACGAUGUGGGAAGGCUUAGACAGCUAGGAGGUUGGCUUAGAAGCAGCCACCCUUUAAAGAAAGCGUAAUAGCUCACUAGUCGAGUCGGCCUGCGCGGAAGAUGUAACGGGGCUCAAACCAUGCACCGAAGCUACGGGUAUCACCUUUGGUGAUGCGGUAGAGGAGCGUUCUGUAAGCCUGUGAAGGUGAGUUGAGAAGCUUGCUGGAGGUAUCAGAAGUGCGAAUGCUGACAUGAGUAACGACAAUGCGAGUGAAAAACUCGCACGCCGAAAGACCAAGGUUUCCUGCGCAACGUUAAUCGACGCAGGGUUAGUCGGUCCCUAAGGCGAGGCUGAAAAGCGUAGUCGAUGGAAAACAGGUUAAUAUUCCUGUACUUCCAGUUAUUGCGAUGGAGGGACGGAGAAGGUUAGGCCAGCCUGGCGUUGGUUGUCCAGGUUUAAGGUGGUAGGCUGAAAUCUUAGGCAAAUCCGGGAUUUCAAGGCCGAGAGCUGAUGACGAGCGCUCUUUAGAGUGCGAAGUGGUUGAUACCAUGCUUCCAAGAAAAGCUCCUAAGCUUCAGAUAACUGGGAACCGUACCCCAAACCGACACAGGUGGUUAGGUAGAGAAUACCAAGGCGCUUGAGAGAACUCGGGUGAAGGAACUAGGCAAAAUGGCACCGUAACUUCGGGAGAAGGUGCGCCGGCGAGGGUGAAGGACUUGCUCCGUAAGCCCAUGCCGGUCGAAGAUACCAGGCCGCUGCGACUGUUUAUUAAAAACACAGCACUCUGCAAACACGAAAGUGGACGUAUAGGGUGUGACGCCUGCCCGGUGCCGGAAGGUUAAUUGAUGGGGUUAGCGCAAGCGAAGCUCUUGAUCGAAGCCCCGGUAAACGGCGGCCGUAACUAUAACGGUCCUAAGGUAGCGAAAUUCCUUGUCGGGUAAGUUCCGACCUGCACGAAUGGCGUAACGAUGGCGGCGCUGUCUCCACCCGAGACUCAGUGAAAUUGAAAUCGCUGUGAAGAUGCAGUGUAUCCGCGGCUAGACGGAAAGACCCCGUGAACCUUUACUAUAGCUUUGCACUGGACUUUGAGCUUGCUUGUGUAGGAUAGGUGGGAGGCUUUGAAGUGGGGACGCCAGUUCUCAUGGAGCCAUCCUUGAAAUACCACCCUGGCAACCUUGAGGUUCUAACUCAGGUCCGUGAUCCGGAUCGAGGACAGUGUAUGGUGGGUAGUUUGACUGGGGCGGUCUCCUCCCAAAGAGUAACGGAGGAGUACGAAGGUGCGCUCAGACCGGUCGGAAAUCGGUCGUAGAGUAUAAAGGCAAAAGCGCGCUUGACUGCGAGACACACACGUCGAGCAGGUACGAAAGUAGGUCUUAGUGAUCCGGUGGUUCUGUAUGGAAGGGCCAUCGCUCAACGGAUAAAAGGUACUCCGGGGAUAACAGGCUGAUACCGCCCAAGAGUUCAUAUCGACGGCGGUGUUUGGCACCUCGAUGUCGGCUCAUCACAUCCUGGGGCUGAAGCCGGUCCCAAGGGUAUGGCUGUUCGCCAUUUAAAGUGGUACGCGAGCUGGGUUUAGAACGUCGUGAGACAGUUCGGUCCCUAUCUGCCGUGGACGUUUGAGAUUUGAGAGGGGCUGCUCCUAGUACGAGAGGACCGGAGUGGACGAACCUCUGGUGUUCCGGUUGUCACGCCAGUGGCAUUGCCGGGUAGCUAUGUUCGGAAGAGAUAACCGCUGAAAGCAUCUAAGCGGGAAACUUGCCUCAAGAUGAGAUCUCACUGGGAUCUUGA
rnacentral:rRNA from 1 species